rnacentral:rRNA from 1 species
UACGUAGGGGGCGAGCGUUGUCCGGAAUCAUUGGGCGUAAAGAGCGUGUAGGCGGCCAGAAAAGUCCGCUGUGAAAACUCGAGGCUCAACUUCGAGCUGUCGGUGGAAACUUUCUGGCUAGAGUCCGGAAGAGGAGAAUGGAAUUCCUGGUGUAGCGGUGAAAUGCGCAGAUAUCAGGAAGAACACCCGUGGCGAAGGCGGUUCUCUGGGACGGUACUGACGCUGGAGACGCGAAAGCGUGGGGAGCGAACAGG